GAUGAAGAGAUUUCGAAGCACGGCAAAGAUAAACAAUUGAUACUGAAUGUGAAAAGUGCCUACAGGGUCACAUCCUUCAUCAGUUAAGAAGAGGAACGCAGCAACAGGUAAAACAAGGGUCAAAACUAUGUGUUUGUAGAUUCUGCUGAUAUUAUUUUAAAAAAAUAUGUGCUUGUGUGAAGUUUACAAAGCUGCAUCCUUCAGUAAAUAUGUACACACUGUUCCAAAUGUGCUCCCUUUUCAGCUCCUUAUCUGGUUACACAUGUCCAUCAUCAGCCUCCCAGGAGUCUCUCCAAGCCGCUGCCACGACAUCACACGCCUGUCAGUGUUUACAAUGACCGGAACUGGUGCAGAGAGGUGCGGGGAAACGAUGCCCGGGCGCGUAAAGAGGGAGCGGGAGGGAGUGAGCGCAAAAAAAAAAAAAAAAAAAAA